GUGGGGAAUAUUGGACAAUGGGCGAAAGCCUGAUCUAGCCAUGCCGCGUGUGUGAAGAAGGUCUUCGGAUUGUAAAGCACUUUAAGUUGGGAGGAAGGGCAGUAAGUUAAUACCUUGCUGUUUUGACGUUACCGACAGAAUAAGCACCGGCUAACUUCGUGCCAGCAGCCGCGGUAAUACGAAGGGUGCAAGCGUUAAUCGGAAUUACUGGGCGUAAAGCGCGCGUAGGUGGUUUUGUAAGUUGGAGGUGAAAUCCCCGGGCUCAACCUGGGAACUGCCUCCAAAACUGCAUGACUAGAGUACGGUAGAGGGUAGUGGAAUUUCCUGUGUAGCGGUGAAAUGCGUAGAUAUAGGAAGGAACACCAGUGGCGAAGGCGACUACCUGGACUGAUACUGACACUGAGGUGCGAAAGCGUGGGGAGCAAACAGGAUUAGAUACCCGUGUAGUCC
rnacentral:rRNA from 1 species